rnacentral:rRNA from 1 species
UACGGGGGGGGCAAGCGUUGUUCGGAAUUACUGGGCGUAAAGGGCUCGUAGGCGGCCAACUAAGUCAGACGUGAAAUCCCUCGGCUUAACCGGGGAACUGCAUCUGAUACUGGAUGGCUUGAGUUCGGGAGAGGGAUGCGGAAUUCCUGGUGUAGCGGUGAAAUGCGUAGAUAUCAGGAGGAACACCGGCGGUGUAGACGGCUUUCUGGACCGUAGCUGACGCUGAGACACGAAAGCGUGGGUAGCAAACAGG